GCAGCUGGCUAGCUCAGUUGGUAGCGUGUGGGCCUCUUGAUCUCAGGAGUGUGGGUUUGAGCCCCAUGCUGGGCA